AACGCGAAGAACCUUACCUGGUCUUGACAUCCACAGAACUUGGCAGAGAUGCCUUGGUGCCUUCGGGAACUGUGAGACAGGUGCUGCAUGGCUGUCGUCAGCUCGUGUUGUGAAAUGUUGGGUUAAGUCCCGCAACGAGCGCAACCCUUAUCCUUUGUUGCCAGCGGUCCGGCCGGGAACUCAAAGGAGACUGCCAGUGAUAAACUGGAGGAAGGUGGGGAUGACGUCAAGUCAUCAUGGCCCUUACGACCAGGGCUACACACGUGCUACAAUGGCAUAUACAAAGAGAAGCGACCUCGCGAGAGCAAGCGGACCUCAUAAAGUAUGUCGUAGUCCGGAUUGGAGUCUGCAACUCGACUCCAUGAAGUCGGAAUCGCUAGUAAUCGUGGAUCAGAAUGCCACGGUGAAUACGUUCCCGGGUCUUGUACACACCG
rnacentral:rRNA from 1 species